GAAAGAAGCUCCUGUGGCGGCCCCGCCCUCUCCCUUCACAUGUCCUCCAACAGUGGCACGUUGCCUCUCUGACGGGCCCGGUUAUCUGUGUCAAGCAGUAGUCGUGUUGUGACACAUGACAUCCCUGUAAAGGUUAUUCCUAGAAAACUGUGGAAGGACUUACAAGAACCGACGGUCCCAGACACUGACAUGAGUGAUGCCUGGCGUCCUGUCACUCACCACGUAUUAAAUGGUUAGUAUUUAUUUACCAGUCUUGAAGACUAUGAAGAGCAUUGUGGAGAAGAUGAAAAACAUCAGCAAUCACCUUAUUAUUGAAGCAAACCUAAAUGGAGAAUUGAACUUGAAAAUAGAAACUGAACUAGUGUAUGUUACAACUCAUUUUAAAGAUCUUGAGAAUCCUCCAUUAGUUGCUUGUUUUCAUAUCCAUUCAGCCAGUCUAUGUCUUUUAAUUGGAGCAUUUAAUCCAUUUAAAUUCAAG